UACGUAGGGCGCGAGCGUUGUCCGGAAUUAUUGGGCGUAAAGAGCUCGUAGGCGGUCUGUUGCGUCGGCUGUGAAAACCCGGGGCUCAACUCCGGGCCUGCAGCCGAUACGGGCAGACUAGAGUUCGGCAGGGGAGACUGGAAUUCCUGGUGUAGCGGUGAAAUGCGCAGAUAUCAGGAGGAACACCGGUGGCAAAGGCGGCAUCCUGGACCAACACUGACGCUGAGUGAGCGAAAGCCAGGGGAGCAAACGGG
rnacentral:rRNA from 1 species